AGAGGAAUCAGCAUUCUGUGCUUUCCACCUGGCAUAAAUCAUGAGUCUCUGGCUGCAGAGGAGAAGGCUGUGCUCAGCAUGAAAGGCUGAGCCUGAUGAUUUAUGGAGAGAGACUCCAUCCCAGACCCUGGCCUUGGAUUCUUCCUCACAAACUCCCAAGAUCCAUGUGCCUGGUAGCUUUGAGAAUCCACAUCAACCAACCCUAUUGAUUCAGAUGCACCAAGGUGGAUGGAUGAAAAUGGUUUAUACCCUUGGCUCUAAGAUGGCUGUAUGGGAAGACAAACUUCAAAUGAGACACAGAGUGCAUGAUGGGAUUCAUCCAGUGCUAAGCAAAAAGAAGAACAACUAAGCCAUCAUGCAAGGAGAACAGAUGGGCUGCUUAAUGACCCUUUCUGGACAUUGAAAGCCAUCCAUGGCCAAUUGUUACCCGUCCAGAAACCAAGGGAGCAGGUUAUUUUUUGGUCUCGCCUACUGGUCUUUAAUAGCCUCUGUACCACUCUCUCUGUGAUCCCUUUGCCUAGGAGAGCUAAGAAGAUGAAGGGAGUUUCUAUUUGCCAUUUCCAAGAAUCUCACUUGCAAUUUAAAUGAUUCCUGCACCCGGGUUUUAUGAAGAAGAAAACAGUCUUAAAAACCCUUAAGUGCUCAGCUUACUUUUCUGUUGUUUGGUGAAAGGGGGGUGUGAGUUUCUCUGCAAUUCUCUACAACUUCCUUUAUUCUAGCGAUGGGGAAUUACCCCGGGAUUAAAAGGAAAACCAUUGACUUCAGUGAGGACCGAGAGACCCUCGGCUCACAAUUUUGUCUGGGCUCCAUCUCAUAAUGGGCGCUGAGAUUUGGGGAAGGGGGAGGAGAUGAGAAAGGAGAGAUGGAGACUCUAAUGGGGGUCCAACUCCUCUGCCAGGCGCUUAUCCCAAAGCGCAGGAGUCCUCAGCUCUGUCCAGGGGAGAGGCUGCUCUAAUUUCCCCGAAGCCUUCAGAAUCCUGCCAGGGGCACGGUGCUGCCAGUACAAGUUACUGACCAGGGACUGC
rnacentral:lncRNA from 1 species